rnacentral:rRNA from 1 species
GAUGGGGACCUCGCAAGAGGCCUAUCGCCAUGAGAGGGGCCCGCGGCCUAUCAGCUAGUUGGUGAGGUAACGGCUCACCAAGGCUAUGACGGGUAGCUGGUCUGAGAGGAUGGUCAGCCACACUGGGACUGAGACACGGCCCAGACUCCUACGGGAGGCAGCAGCCGAGAAUCUCCCGCAAUGGGCGAAAGCCUGACGGAGCGACGCCGCGUGAAGGAUGAAGGUCUUCGGAUUGUAAACUCCUGUCAGCUGGGAAGAAAGUUCUAGGGUGAACAAUCCUAGAAUCUGACGGUACCAGCAGAGGAAGCCACGGCUAACUCUGUGCCAGCAGCCGCGGUAA